rnacentral:rRNA from 1 species
CAGUAGCCACGGUAUACGAAGGGGGCUAGCGUUGUUCGGAUUUACUGGGCGUAAAGGGUGCGUAGGCGGAUUGUUAAGUCAGGGGUGAAAUCCCGAGGCUCAACCUCGGAACUGCCUUUGAUACUGGCGAUCUUGAGUCCGGGAGAGGUGAGUGGAACUGCGAGUGUAGAGGUGAAAUUCGUAGAUAUUCGCAAGAACACCGGUGGCGAAGGCGGCUCACUGGCCCGGAACUGACGCUGAGGCACGACAGCGUGGGGAGCAAACAGGAUUAGAUACCCCUGUAGUCCCUGUCUCUUAUACA